rnacentral:sRNA from 13 species
GUAUUUCUACAUCCAAAAUAAGGCGCAGAUUUGUUUUGUUUUCGUUUUAUAUUUUAGCAGUGCUGAUUUUCAGUUUCGCCAACUACGUGUUUACAAGUGUUUGUUGUUGUUGUUGUGCUGUGGUAUUCAGUGUGACCGUAGCUAGCCACAGACAGAUACCAAAUUAUGCAAUACACGAUAGAGAUGGGCGGUUGAAUUGCAAAUGCAGACACGAUAAUUGAAUUUCCUUUCACUCUUUGUGAUUGUUUGGCAUAUUUUAUUUAUAUUCAUGUCUAGCGCUAGCAAGCCGGUCUGAUGACGUUGUUAUCGAUAAUUGCAAUGCGCGCAGAGUUGCAAGUGUAGCACAGUCAUUGGGCACUCACACAAAUAAAACUGGGCAGCAAAGACGAAGACGAAGGGGCGGCGACAACGCGAGGGGGUGCGGAGUGUGGGGUGUCUCAGAUUUUCGCAGCGCGCACACGACUAAUACUAAACACUAAACACUAACAACAACAACAGGAACGGAGCCAGUGGGCAACCAGCUUCAAGUAACGCUCGAUAACAACUGACUAACUGAGCGAACUCCAGCGAGCAGUUCCAAACCACGAUCAUCGUCAAAGCUCGCGACGACACACGAAGCAGCGCUCUCUCGUAUUCGUGCUUUGUGCUCCCACGCUGCGUUCUGAAAAAAAAGGAAAAGAGAGGAGGAGAACGCAGAGAGCACGCAUUCAGUCGAAGAAUGGGCUGCCUUAUGCAGAGAUGCAUGCAUGCUUACAUACGUGUGUGUGCGUUUGUGAAAUGUUAAUUCAAGUCAUAUUUGCCUGCAACUGAUACACAUACAAACAAACCCAUUGUUGUUGAUUUUUCAUGUAAUCAAAUAGAGAAGAGAAGAAAGCAUUUAUCGCUAUUAGAUGCUGAUAACAUUUCUUGCACGCACUUCAAGCAGCAGGUGGUUGUGGAGGAGAAGGGAGGAGUGUGCUUGUCAUCAUCGUUAUGGUCUGUGCUAAUUAGCAUACAAGACAAAUGUACAUAUAACGUAUCUAUGUGCAAAUGCAACUGUUAUACUAUUUACACAUUCUUAUUGCUGUACAACGUCAGUGGGAAAUCACCACGUGUAAGCAUACCAGCAGCGAACUAAUGAAUGACAACUCCCAUUACUGAGUGCAUUCUGUGUGCACACAAUGUAAUGCAUUACCCAUUAAUACUCUUUGUGUAGUGAAAUAUAAAACAUAUUUUUAUGUA